AGCUCUAAUAGCGUAUAUUAAAGUUGUUGCAGUUAAAAAGCUCGUAGUUGGAUUUUUGCAUUAUUAAAUUAUAUCUAUCGUGAAGAUUUGUAUAUGAUUUAAUAUGUAUUUUUUUUAUAAAAUUUACUUAUUUUUCUUAAUUGAUUUAUAAGAUUUAAAUUUUAUUCAUUUACUGUGAGUAAAUUAGAGUGUUUAAAGCAAUCUCUUUGGAUUUUGAAUAUCAUUAGCAUGGGAUAAUAAAAUAAGAUUUUUAAUUUAUUUUUAUUGGUUUAUAAAUUAAAAAUAAUGAUUAAUAGGGAUAGUUGUGGGCAUUUGUAUUUAAUUGUCAGAGGUGAAAUUCUUGGAUUUAUGAAAGACAAACUACUGCGAAAGCAUUUGCCAAGGAUGUUUUCAUUAAUCA
rnacentral:rRNA from 1 species